AUGCCAUUUCAAAUUUUUGGCGUUGAAGCUCAACUGUUGCAUAUAAUGUUGAGGCCGCAAGAAAAGGUUAUAGCAAAGCCUGGUUCAGUGUGCUUUAUGUCUGGGUCGAACGAAAUGGGAAAAUGUAUUAGUUCCUGAAAAUGAAGUAGGGUGUGGCAGUGGCUUUUUGGCAAGACAGUGAGCAGCAUAGUUUUUCACAAUUACGGUCAAGGCGACGGGUUUGUUGGAAUUGCUGCACCUUCUCUUGCCAGAAUUCUCCCGAUUGACUUGGCAAUGUUUGGCGGAGAGAUUUUUUGCCAGCCAGAGGCAUUUCUUUGUUCCGUUAAUGUUGUUAAAGAAUACAGUUGACCAGAUGGGCUCGUGAUAUUAUUCCUGGUGCAGAGGGUUUUCUAGGACAUAAGCUAUCUAGCCAAGGGCUUGCAUUUAUAAUUGCAGGCGGAUCUGUUGUACAGAAAAUCUUGAGGUGGGCGAGGUACUGUGUGUUGAUGUUUCUUGUAUAGCAGCUGUGCAGUCAACGUCCAAAUCAAAUACAAUGGGCCCAUGAGAAGAGCAGUCUUUGGUGGAGACAAUCUUGUAACAGCUGUUUUAACCGGACCAGAUUCAGAGUUUACCUUUUCAUCGAUUUUCUUAGCGUAUUGCUAGGUCAGUUACAUCACCAAACAUGAGGGAAAAUCCCAAGUUGGUUAUGCAGAUGUCCAUUUUCCUGGCAUAUGUUGUGAUUAUAUCUUGGUACCAAUCACGCGCCAUGGAGACUGAGGCAAUGAUGGCUUAUAAUAAGGUGCAGCUAUGUAAGAGUUUGCAGCAUACUUCCAAGAACAAACUGCUUUGAAGCGAAGGAUGUCAAUGGGAGCAAGCUUUUUCAAGAUCAACUCUGCUAUUUCAAUUGGGACAUCAUCAGGCCACUUUGAUUCGCAUUCUUGUGUUCUCCUUUUGGUGCAGUGAUUCUGAUCAUGAGACAUUAUUAUUGGGAUAGUAGUAGUUUACAAAGAAUAUAUAAUCAUGAUUUUGGGGCGGUGAUGAAAUUCUAAUCAAAUACUACUAGCUAGCUAUUACUAAUAGCCUAUUGGCUAGGUAUUGUGCUUACGGAUGGCGAUGGCCUACGGAGAAGGAGGGAUUCCAAUUGAAUACUACCUACUAGUGCAAUAUAAUUCCGAAUCGAUUACAAAAGACUCCCGAACUACAUAUGAGACUAUUUUGUAUCGGUUUGAUACCUCAAGAUAUAUAUAUAUUUUUUCAGAAGGUUUGAU